UGGGGAUAUUGGGCAAUGGACGAAAGUCUGACCCAGCCACGCCGCGUGAGUGAAGAAGGCCUUCGGGGUUGAAAACUCUUUUUUCAUGGAAGAAAGUGCGUUUAUGCAAUAACUGGUGGUAGUGCCGGACCAAUAAAAAACAGCUAACUCCAAGCCAGUGCCCGCGGUAAUGAUAAU
rnacentral:rRNA from 1 species